GCCGGGCCUGUAGUCCCAGCUACUCGGGAGGCUGAGGCAGGACGAUCGCUUGAGCCCAGGAGUUCUGGGCUGUAGUGCGCUAUGCCAUCAGCUGUCCUCGCUAAGUUCAGCAUCAAUGUGGUGACCUCCCGGGAGCGGGGAACCACCAGGUUGCCUAAGGAGGGGUGAACUGGCCCAGGUCAGAAACGGAGCAGGUCAAAACUCCCGUGCUGAUCAAAAGCAGUUCUUCUCAAACUCAUACAGGAACCCCCUGGUAAUUGUGUUAAUUGUGUUUUCU
ensembl:misc_RNA Metazoa_SRP Metazoan signal recognition particle RNA